GUAUGUAUUUUUGUAAGUAAAGCUAGAACGAUUGUAUCCUCUUGAUUAAAUGAGCCCCUUCCCAGCGGUGGUAGCUGGACAGUGGAAUCAGUCCAGGGGUGUGAGGGCUUCAUUUUUCAUACCACGUCUUGCCCAUAUUUGGGCUUUAAAUUCUAAUCUGGACAGGUGGACAGGCCACCUAUCCUUAACCUGGAAAAAAUACAUAUAUAUAUAUUUGUAUAUGUGUUUAUUAAGUAGCCAAAUGCCUCGUCAUCUAAUUAGUGACGCGCAUGAAUGGAUGAACGAGAUUCCCACUGUCCCUACCUACUAUCCAGCGAAACCACAGUGGCAGGUGGGGAGUUUGACUGGGGCGGUACACCUGUCAAAGCGUAACGCAGGUGUCCUAAGGUGAGCUCAGGGAGGAUGGAAACUUCCCGCGGAGCAGAAGGGCAAAAGCUCGCUUGAUCUUGAUUUUCAGUACGAAUACAGACCGUGAAAGCGGGGCCUCACGAUCCUUCUGGCUGUCGAGAGUUUAGCUGAAGAAUGGCUGCGCAGCAAGAGACACGAAAAAGUUAAGUUGAUGAGAGUGUGAGAAUACGUGACUUGUAGCAUGAAAACUAUGACCUUGAGAAACAGAUGUCUUCUAACAACCUUCAGAAAGACAUCUCCUAACAACCCUGAGUAUACAGAUGUCUUGAUAAAAAUGAAAUAUUGCUUGGUAUGCAAAAAAGUAAUCAAGUAUAAAGAAGCAGUAACCGCAAGGCUUAUCGCAAAGAGAUAUAUGUGUUAAUAGAAAGGUAACCAAUCCUGAGCUUCGCUUUUGCAAUAUGUAUGAACUAAUUAGUGCUUGUAUAAAGAAACUGUAAUCAACUCCAAUAAACUGAAAACUUGUUGAUCAUGAUACCAUGAACUUGUUUUCCCGCGACGAUCUCACCAACAUCUGGCUUUUUGGGUUUUAAGCAGGAGGUGUCAGAAAAGUUAUCUUCCUCACUGUCCUGGUUCAGGGCAAAUUUGGAAAAGAACCCCAAGAGGGGUUCCUCUAGGAAACAGAUUCAAUCGGCCCCUCCCUCCAACUGGUUCGGGAAAAAAAUCACCCUUUGGUGGAAAAUGGAAAAAACUCUUUAUUAAGCAAGAAAAUCUAAAGAAUAUUAAACAAUAAAACUUCUUGCUGCUCCAAAAGAGAGAUAAACUCAGAAAGUCCC
rnacentral:lncRNA from 1 species